UUAUCUUCAGGACGGUAUUUGUGUCAAUAUGGAUAUUUCAAACAUAUUGCACUUAUACCGGCCUGAUGAUCU
rfam:Drosophila ananassae strain TSC#14024-0371.13 Ctg01_18752, whole genome shotgun sequence.